GACGAACGCUGGCGGCGUGCCUAAUACAUGCAAGUAGGACGCACAGCCUAUACCGUAGCUUGCUACACCAUAGGCUGUGAGUUGCGAACGGGUGAGUAACGCGUAGGUAACCUGCCUAUUAGAGGGGGAUAACUAUUGGAAACGAUAGCUAAUACCGCAUAACAGUAUGUAACACAUGUUAGAUGCUUGAAAGAUGCAAUUGCAUCGCUAGUAGAUGGACCUGCGUUGUAUUAGCUAGUAGGUAGGGUAAAGGCCUACCUAGGCAACGAUACAUAGCCGACCUGAGAGGGUGAUCGGCCACACUGGGACUGAGACACGGCCCAGACUCCUACGGGAGGCAGCAGUAGGGAAUCUUCGGCAAUGGGGGGAACCCUGACCGAGCAACGCCGCGUGAGUGAAGAAGGUUUUUCGGAUCGUAAAGCUCUGUU
rnacentral:rRNA from 1 species